GUCAUAGGAAGGUGUUCCAGAAUAAAAUUAAAAAAGCCUUGCCAGACGUAAUAAUUAUUUGGACUACUCAUAUAUAUAUAUAUAUAUCAUUAAAAAUACACCAAAAAAGUCAUUAGUUGAGAAAAAUAAAUAUAUACAAAAUGUACAUGAACACCCAAAAAUGUGAAAGUUAGUAUUUAACUCUUUUUGCUUAAAUACUGAAAAAAAUUCUGGCAACCCCUUUCUUAUUUUUACCCUAUUGCUUAAAAUACUGUUAAAAAUAUAUAUUUAACAUGGGUGACGAAUUGACUAUAUCAGGUGUCGAUUUUAACCAGGUGCUGAUUUGUCCAGGUGCCAAUUUAACUAGGUGCCAGUUUGACUAGAAUUCUUUGACAAAUGUUUGAAACUAUCUGAGUUUCAUUAGACCUUUGAUAGCAGUAACAAAAAGAUUAUUUACUUAAUAUUUUGUGGGAGAAGGGGGUUCAGACUGUGUGGUAUCAGGUCUGUUUGUGCCCAAUACAUUUUCGCACCCUACACGUUCGCACAUUCACACUCUACUCAUUCGCGCCCAAUUUUAAUUCAAAUUCAAGUUGAAUAAUUGGAAAAUCAUGGUUGUUGUUUUAAAUUGCUUUGGUGUAAAUACUGAAUGUAUUUAUAGCUUGGUAUGAGUAAAACAUUGAAGAUUUUAAAGGAAAAAACACAAAAGAUAAUUGUUUUUAACAGCUUGGUCCCAUUGAUCUGAAACAACGAAACAAUAAAACAUAGAAACCAAAAUAUAGCAAUCCACUAAUAUAACCAAAACAUGAUAAAAUUUAUUCAACACGCAGAAACAAACAUAGUCAGAAUCUCACUUCAUUUUGAAACAAGUCAAUGAAACAAGUUAUAGCAAUACACUAACCAAAACAUGAUUAAGAGUUAUUCAACACAAAAUAAAACGUUGACAAAAUACCACUUUAUUUAGAAAGGAUUAUUAUUAUUUUUAGCAAUACCUUAUCCAAAACAUGAUUAAGAUUUAUUCAACACAAAAAAAAAAUUGCUGUCUCACUUUAUUUUGAGACAAUGACAACAAUUAUACUUAUAAGAAAACACUUGCUUACAGAGUUAUUAAACACAAAACCAAUUAAGAUUGGGUGCGAACAUGUAGGGUGUGAAAGUGAAAGGGGUGAAAAUGAGUGGGCGCAAACGUGAAUGGAAGCGAACGGACCCAGAUUCAGACUAUGUACCAGUGAGAAAUAUACAAGCCUUUCUACGGUAUUUAUUUGUACAAUUCAGCUAGUCUUGACCUAUUCAUUUGUCUUAAAAAAACCAGCCAGUUGUCACCUUCACUUCACACACACACACAUAUACGAAUAUCAAUUAUAUGCUCACGAUACAUGUUGCAUUGUUAAACUAAUUACGGUAUGUGAAAAUCAAGACUUGCAUAAAAACUAUCCCAAUAUUAGAGACAGUGGCGUCAUUUUUCUUCAGAGCUUUCAGCUCUUUGAUUACAUCUUAAUAUUUUAUGA
rnacentral:lncRNA from 1 species